GCGCUCACCGGGCAGCACAGAUACUAAAACUGGAACAAAACAAAGGUCACCCUGGGCUCUGCCCAAGGAUGACGCUCAAGUUUGUAAAGUGUUCCAUAUUUUU
rnacentral:snRNA from 1 species